rnacentral:tRNA from 1 species
GCCUGGCUAGCUCAGUUGGUAGAGCAUGGGACACUUGAUCUGAGGACCGUGGGUUUGCGCCCCACGCUGGGCG